CUGGAAUUCUCCAGGGCUCACAGAACGCCGCCCGCCGCAGAGCCCAGGGGAAGGGCGCGGCCUCGGCCCCGGGGCGGCCUCCCCAGCCCCAGCCCCAGCCCCAACCCCGAGGCCCGCGCGCGGGCGAGCAGCCGGCUUCCCGAUCCGGCCGCGGCCCGCCCCACGUCGGGCGGGGCCCCGAGCCGCGCGGCGCGACGGGCCGGGCCGGGCCGGGCCGGGCCGGGCCGUCCGCCGGGAGCCCGCCGGGAGCCGCAGUCCCGAGCCACGCGGUCCCCCGGGGUCGGGGUGGGGAGGGGGGGGUGCCGGGCCCUGGCGGCCGGAGCGGGAUGGCGACGUGGCGGCGGGACGGCCGGCUGACGGGCGGCCAGCGGCUGCUGUGCGCGGGCGUGGCGGGGACGCUCAGCCUCAGCCUCACCGCGCCGCUCGAGCUCGUCACGGUGCUGGCCCAGGUCGGCGCCGCGCGGGGCCAGGCCCGGGGGCCGUGGGCCGCGGGGCUCCGGGUGUGGCGCGCUGAGGGGCCCCGGGCCCUGUGGAAGGGGAACGCGGUGGCGUGCCUGCGCCUCUUCCCCUGCAGCGCCGUGCAGCUCGCCGCCUACCGCAAGUUUGUCAUACUCUUCACGGAUGACCUGGGCCAUAUUUCCCAGUGGAGCUCCAUCAUGGCUGGGAGUCUUGCAGGCAUGGUUUCCACCAUUGUGAUGUACCCUACAGACCUCAUCAAAACCCGGUUGAUUGUGCAGAACUUGCUCGAACCAUCUUACAGAGGGAUCCUCCAUGCUUUUUCUACUGUUUAUCAACAGGAAGGGCUCCUAGCCCUGUAUCGAGGGGUUUCCCUUACUGUUCUAGGUGCUCUGCCCUUCUCUGCUGGCUCCCUUCUAGUUUACAUGAACCUGGAGAAACUCUGGAAUGGACCCCGAGAUCGGUUCUCACCCCUCCAGAACUUCGUCAAUGUCUGCCUGGCCGCUGCCGUAACCCAGACCCUCUCCUUUCCUUUCGACACAGUGAAGAGAAAGAUGCAGGCUCAGAGUCCACACCUUCCCCACCGUGGAGGAGUAGAUGUGCAUUUCUCAGGAGCGGCGGACUGCUUCCGGCAGAUAGUCAAAGCCCAGGGGGUCCUGGCGCUCUGGAAUGGACUGACGGCCAACUUGCUGAAGAUAGUUCCGUAUUUUGGAGUUAUGUUUGGCACCUUUGAGUUCUGCAAGAGGAUCUGCCUUUACCAAAAUGGUUACAUUGUGUCUCCUCUGAGUUAUAAAUUAACCCCUGGGGUGGAUCAGAGUUUGAAGCCCCAGGAAUUGCGGGAAUUUAAAAAGCUCUUCAAAACAGGACAGCUGAAGUCUAAAAAACCAACUCUCUAAAAUUGACCAGAACAAGAAGUGCACUGACCGAAGGCGUGUUACAAUCAUAAAAACCUCGUAACUUAAAUCUGCGCAGGGUGACCAGAGGAAACUCCCGUCUGCCACUCUUGGAAAUGGGAAGAUUUCGCCACAUACCAGCCUCAAGCUCCAAACUCACGUCCUGGUGACCACCUGUGCCAUGGGAAAGCUUCCCAGCACGACCGUUGCAUGGUGGCACUCCACCAGAUAGCUCCACAAAUACCCAGCAUUAACAAAACGUGCGAUUUACACUCUAUAAACAGGCAACUUACAAAACACCAAAGAAAGGCAAUGGCCAUGACCUCCAAGUGAAACGUCGUUGAAGCGACUGAGCAAAUAGCACAUCAGGAGCUCAGCCACACAGUCGCAGCUUGCACUGACCCACACUGGCCUCGCGCUGCUCCAUUCCACCCAAGUCUUCCCAGCACACUUGUUCUGAAACUCCUAAUGUUUGCUGACUUCUGAGUGUGCACGCUAUAGUGUAAAUUAUGCCUUAUUGGAAACUAAAUUAAAGGGGCACCUGGGUGGUGCAGUCAGUUAAGCGGCAGCCCUCAGCUCAGGUCAUGAUCUCAGGGUCCUGGGAUCGAGCCCCACGUAGGAGCAGGGAGCCUGCUUCUCCCUCUCCCUCUGUGUGUGCUCUCCCUCUCUCAAAUAAAUAAAUAAAUCUUUUUUUAAAAAGAAACUAAAUUAAAACCUUUAACAUUUAAAAGUCCACUCUCUCGUGGUGGAACCAUCCUUUCUUUAAAUCUGAAGAUGCUGUAAAUUUGAGAUGCUUUAAACCUGAAGCAUCUCAAGCUUACAAAUUGCAGGAAUCUUUUUUCAAGGCAGUUGUUACUGUGACCACUUAAUUAAUGACCCCAAAAGACCUCCUUCCAAUUGAAGUCAUGUACAGUUGACGUGGCCUGAAUUCUCUGCCUUUCUAACUUGCUUUGCAAGCCUACCCUGAAAAUAAAUUAUUUAGUCAACUUAAGUUAUUCUCACAAGAUGUCCCAGUUGCCUAGAAAAGGAUCAAAUAGAACAUCUGACACGCAUAUCCAAAAGAGAAAUGGAACUGAACAAAAACACUUCAGGCUAAUCAUCUCUACUCUUUUAAAAAAUCGAAUUUUGGAUUGUUCCACCUUGAGAACUCCAUGUCAAAUUUACACAACCUCACUUUCAAAUAGUGCCUACCUAUGCAUUAAAACACAUAAUAGUAAAUCGUUAAUUUACACACACACACAGGUUUUCAGGAUGCUCCACGUACUUUUCCCUGUUAAAUUUGUUUUCCAAAGAAAAAGGUUGUUUGGUCAUUUGUUACUAAGGUGAGUUCUAGCAAAGGAAUAGCAGUUAAUACACACAGGAAGGUCUCAUCUGUAGCCCAAGCUGUUACAGUGGGGAGGGCGGCAAAUUCUUUACCCACCACUAAUAGUCCUGUUUAUGAACUCUUCAUCUUCCUUGAGGUGAACAAUUUUUUUUAAAGUUCUGAAAUCUGUGUGUGUAUAUAUAUAUAUAUAUAUAUAUAUAUAUAUAUAUAUUUUUUUUUUUUUUAACUAGAUCUAAAAUCCUAGCCUCAGGUUACUUAUAUCAUGUUAAUAUCUCUGUAUUCUUCUGCCCGUAUUAUGAGAUGGCUAGCCACACUCUUGCUACUGUGACACACAGAAAUGUUUUCUGAGCUGUAGUUUUGGCUUUUUCAAUAAAGUUAAGUGAGGAAAA